rnacentral:rRNA from 1 species
UACGGGGGGGGCAAGUGUUGUUCGGAAUUACUGGGCGUAAAGGGCUCGUAGGCGGCCAACUAAGUCGGACGUGAAAUCCCUCGGCUUAACCGGGGAACUGCGUCCGAUACUGGAUGGCUUGAGUUCGGGAGAGGGAUGCGGAAUUCCAGGUGUAGCGGUGAAAUGCGUAGAUAUCUGGAGGAACACCGGUGGCGAAGGCGGCAUCCUGGACCGACACUGACACUGAGGAGCGAAAGCCAGGGGAGCAAACGGG